rnacentral:rRNA from 1 species
UCCUGGCUCAGGAUGAACGCUAGCGGCAGGCCUAAUACAUGCAAGUCGAACGGUGGUAGCAAUACCAUAGUGGCGCACGGGUGCGUAACGCGUAACCAACCUACCCAGAACUGGGGGAUAGCCCGCCGAAAGGCGGAUUAAUACCGCAUAAGCUAAGAGAGUGGCAUCACUUACUUAGUAAAGAUUUAUUGGUUUUGGAUGGGGUUGCGUGCCAUUAGGUAGUUGGUGAGGUAACGGCUCACCAAGGCGACGAUGGCUAGGGGAGCUGAGAGGCUGGUCCCCCACACGGGCACUGAGAUACGGGCCCGACUCCUACGGGAGGCAGCAGUAGGGAAUAUUGGGCAAUGGUCGAGAGACUGACCCAGCCAUGCCGCGUGCAGGAUGAAGGCUUUCUGAGUCGUAAACUGCUUUUAUCAGGGAAGAAUAAGGACUAUGCGUAGUCUGAUGACGGUACCUGAGGAAUAAGCUCCGGCUAACUCCUGUGCCAGCAGCCGCGGUAAUACGGAGGGUGCGAGCGUUGUCCGGAUUUAUUGGGUUUAAAGGGUGCGUAGGCGGCCAAAUAAGUCUGGGGUGAAAGCCCGCUGCUCAACAGCGGAACUGCCCUGGAUACUGUAUGGCUUGAGGACAGACGAGGUUGGCGGAAUAGAGGGUGUAGCGGUGAAAUGCAUAGAUACCCUCUAGAACCCCGAUUGCGAAGGCAGCUGACUAGACUGUAUCUGACGCUGAGGCUCGAAAGCGUGGGGAGCAAACAGGAUUAGAUACCCUUAGUCCACGCCGUAAACGAUGACGUAGUCCACGCCGUAAACGAUGGAUACUCGCUGCGGGUGAUACACUAUCCGUGGCUGCGCGAAAGCAUUAAGUAUCCCACCUGGGAAGUACGAUCGCAAGACUUGAACUGGGAGUACGUUCGCAAGAACGAAAACUCUUGGAAAUUGACGGGGGCCCGCACAAGCGGUGGAGCAUGUGGUUUAAUUCGAUGCAACGCGAAGAACCUUACCAGGACUUGACAUGUCGCGAAUCUUACUGAAAGGUAGGAGUGCCUUAGGGAGCGCGAACACAGGUGGCUGCAUGGCUGUCGUCAGCUCGGUCGUGAGAUGUUGGUUUAAGUCCCGCAACGAGCGCAACCCUU